CAGCAGUCGCCGCGGUAAUACGCAGGGCGCAAGCGUUGUCCGGAAUUAUUGGGCGUAAAGAGCUCGUAGGCGGCUCGUCACGUCUGCUGUGAAAUCCCGGGGCUCAACCCCGGGCGUGCAGUGGAUACGGGCUGGCUAGAGGCAGGCAGGGGAGAACGGAAUUCCCGGUGUAGCGGUGAAAUGCGCAGAUAUCGGGAGGAACACCGGUGGCGAGGGCGGUUCUCUGGGCCUGUUCUGACGCUGAGGAGCGAAAGCGUGGGGAGCGAACAGGAUUAGAUACCCGUGUAGUCCCUGUCUCUUAUAC
rnacentral:rRNA from 1 species